rnacentral:rRNA from 1 species
CACCCAAGGUAAUAGGAGGUCCAGCCUGCCCAGUGACCACAAGUUCAACGGCCGCGGUAUUUUGACCGUGCAAAGGUAGCGCAAUCACUUGUCUUUUAAAUAGAGACCUGUAUGAAUGGUUAAACGAGGGCUUAACUGUCUCCCCUUUCAAGUCAGUGAAAUUGAUCUAUCCGUGCAGAAGCGGGUAUAAAUAUACAAGACGAGAAGACCCUUUGGAGCUUAAGGUAAAAACUCAACCACGUCAAGCAACUCAAUAAAAAGCAACCUUCUUUUAAACCUUGUGGUAAAUGAGAUUAUACCUUCGGUUGGGGCGACCACGGAGUAAAAUAAAGCCUCCAAGUGGAUUGGGGAAUACCCUAAAACCAAGAGAGACAUCUCUAAGCCACAGAACAUCUGACCAUAAAUGAUCCGGUCAAUCAAUGACCGAUCAACGAACCAAGUUACCCUAGGGAUAACAGCGCAAUCCUCUCCAAGAGUCCAUAUCGACGAGGGGGUUUACGACCUCGAUGUUGGAUCAGGACAUCCUAAUGGUGCAGCCGUUAUUAAGGGUUCGUUUGUUCAACGAUUAAAGUCCUACGUGAUCUGAGUUCAGACCGGA